rnacentral:rRNA from 1 species
CACGGGGGGAGCAAGCGUUGUUCGGAAUCACUGGGCGUAAAGCGCGUGUAGGCGGCCAAGUAAGUGGGAUGUGAAAUCCCCCGGCUUACCCGGGGACCUGCAUCUCAUACUGCUUGGCUUGAGUAUGGGAGAGGAUGAGGGAAUUCCUAGUGUAGCGGUGAAAUGCGCAGAUAUUAGGAGGAACACCGGUGGCGAAGGCGCCGCUCUGGGCCGAAACUGACGCUGAGGAGCGAAAGCAUGGGUAGCAAACAGG